ACAGAAGAAUCCUCUGCAAUCAAACUAUGGAACAGCACUUGAAGAAUCAUGAUCAAGAAACUGAGCCUGGGGACAGUCAGUGCCUGACUUUAAUACAAAUGAGCUACUGAAAAUGUAUGUAUAAAUCAAAUGUUCAAGGGACAAAGGAGAGGAGGCUUUUUCCCAGUUAUAAAAACCCAGUGGAAUUGCUAUUUGUGUGUUACCUUUAAGGACAUGGCUCCUAUAUUUUGUGCAUGAUCUUUCCUUUUGUUCUUUUACUUCACAGAUGACCAUGGUUGGCUAGCUUGUAUCACGACAGGCUCUACAGGACCCUUUCAUAGGACACUGUGCCAUCUCCAGCCCUGCUUGGUUCACGCUGGUGGUGGAAUGUCAUGGGGGCUCCUAGGCGUGCUCUGGAAGCCAUUCCCACACUGGAGGGAUGGAAGCCAGCUGUCAUUUUGUGAGCUGCCAUGUGACAGGGAACUGAAGCGUCCAGCCAAUAGCCAGGGAAGACCAGAGGCCCACCAAGAGCCAUGCAAGUGGCCUGGAAAGUUGGAUCCUCCCGCAGUGAAGCUUGGGAUGACUGCAGCCUAGGGGACUCUGAGCUGAAGACCCACCUUAGCUGUGUCUGGAUUCCCCACCCACAGAAACUGAG